GACGUAGGGCGCGAGCGUUGUCCGGAUUUAUUGGGCGUAAAGAGCUCGUAGGCGGUCUGUCGCGUCGGAUGUGAAAACCCAGGGCUCAACCCUGGGCCUGCAUUCGAUACGGGCAGACUAGAGUACGGCAGGGGGAGACUGGAAUUCCUGGUGUAGCGGUGAAAUGCGCAGAUAAUCAGGAGGAACACCGGUGGCGAAGGCGGCCUUCUGGACAGUGACUGACGCUGAGACGCGAAAGCGUGGGGAGCAAACAGG
rnacentral:rRNA from 1 species